UGGGAGUCUAGGACAAGCAGACCAUGAUGU
rnacentral:piRNA from 1 species